AACGUGAGCCGAAAUCAAGAGUUGGACGUUUAGCUGACUGAGCCACCUAGGUACCCCUUAAGAUUUUAUUUUUAGGGUGCUUGGGUGGCUCAGUCGGUUAAGUGUCUGCUUUCAGCUCAGGUCAUGAUCCCAGGG